AUAAAAUAGACAAACAAUGAAAAUGAAACAAACAAAAAUAGGUAAUUACAUUCAGGAAGCUUCCCUGUGACCGAGCGUUUGGUGUGACGGGCAAAUAGUCACACUGGAACCUGAUAACCCGUGCUGGGCAUUUAAACAGUGGCAGGAAAAGGCGAGCGUUCUGGAACGUCACCCGGGGCGAGCUAGUCGGGCAUCUUGGUACGUCACCAAGGGUGGGUGUAAGGGUUGAAGGACAUUGAUCUGGGUUAACCAGCUACCCAAGGAAAAGUCUCUAAAAGAAAAACUUAUUUCUUACCUCAGGAAUAAAGCAAAUCAGGUGGAGGAAUAGCAGUUUUCCUGUUCAGUUUUUGUCCUAAGCUUUUUGUUAGCAAAGAUGCUGCUACUGUUGCUUAUGUAAGAAGGCUGCUGCCAUAUUUGCUUACAUGAGUAUCUGGAGGCAUCAUUGUCAUCCAAAUGUUUCAUAGACAUUGACAGCAACACUAUUAUGUUUCAUACUCAGUACUAAUAAGAAACAACUGCAGCAGCAACUUGACAACUUUUUUCUAUAUGUUGAAAAUAAAUUCUUCAUUCUUAAUUUUAUCAUUUCACCACAUAUUAUGCCAGGUUAAUGACCACUAGGGCAAUUGGUAUCUUCUUUGUUACCAUGAUAUGAACUUUAUUGUCCAGUCUUAGUACUUACAGGAGGAACUAGAGUACAGUACUGUACCUGGAGGAAACCUGUAAUGUUUGGUAGGGUCACAGUAGAUAACACCCUUCCCAUGUCUGUCUUGGGCCAGGACUUGAACCUAGGAUAGUGGUGAGUGAUAAAUGUGUUACUGUUGUACCACCAACACUUAUUAUAGUACAGUAGUUGUUUGAUUAGUGCUAACCAUCAGGGUCAAGGUUUGGCUAUAGUUGCUUCCCAUAAGAGUUGAUGGGUAACAUCCAUGAGUCUUCUUAUCCUGACUUCUGUGAAAUAGAAAAUCCUGGAUCAAUUUUUAAUUUCUUGGUUUUCUUAUUUGUAGCAUAGAUACUAUUUGUCCCACUUAAACAAUUGCAAUGUUGUUCCAUCUCAAACUUUCGUCUUCCUUUUGCAUCAAAUAUUCCUUUGUAAAUCUUGAUUCUUAUAUAUUUUGAAUACUGUACUGUAUUAUUUCUUUCACACCAAAAAAGUUGGGAGAGCACAUCCCAUUAAAUGAUUCCUUCUGUGUGAUGGUCAGUUGAAUGAUGUUAGAAAAUAAUUUUUUUAAUGUCUGUAGCUAAUUAUUUUGAUAAAUAUUUUGUAACUAAAACCCAUAAAUUAGAAUCUGACUUAUACCUCGAUUUGUUCAACAAAGUCUUCAAACAAGGAUCGUAACAUACAUCUGGAGCACCAUUGACAGUUUCUGCAACCUGAGCAAUAUGUGUCCAACCCAAACUCAAGCACUGAGCAUAGGAUUGUAAGCUUUCUUACAGCCAUUUAGCAACACUCUCCAGGCAAGCUGAAUGUGCUUACUGUACUGCAUUGCUCCUUCUGUGUAUGAGUAAAUUUUUGAUUGUGUGACUUAUGAGAACACUAUAGUGGAGGCUCUGCAAAACCUGUAUAUGAAACCUAAGAAUGAAGUUUACACAUGACAUUUCCUAGCCAGCAGCCAGGAGAAUCGUUGGAUGAGUAUACCUUCAAACUCGGAAGCACCUGAGUGAGGACUGCAACUACCAGACUGUCAUUGCUAAAAAAUGCUAAGAGGAGGUGAUCUGAGAUGCCUUCAUAAGUGGAUUGCUGUCAGGUGUCAUUCACCAGUGGCUCCUCGAGAACAAAACACCUGAUCUCUCAACUGUAUUUGACCACGCGAGAGCCCUCGAUCAAGCACAGAAAAGCUUAGAGUCGUACGCCACACCGCAGACAACCUUUAGUGCAGUUCCAUCUUCUUCAAUUGAUGUUGAAGAACUGUCCAGCACGUGAAGCUGUUUGCAACAAAUGUGACAAAAAGGUCAUUUUGGGAAAAGUGUGCAGAUCAACAGGAUCUGGAAUAUCUUCUGCUCUUCAAUCUCUCUCACUUGCAGUUAUUUACAUCACAUCAUCAGAAAGUCUGGCUUUGGCUACUGUCAUGAUUAGUGUGAAUAGAAAAUGCAUUGGUGCUCUCCAUUGACAAGCCAACUCCUUUUCUUGUGGAGACUGAUGUUUCAGAUCCUGCAAUUGCUGCCACUCUGAACCAAGCAGGCAAACCUAUGUCCUUCUGUUUUAGGAUGCUAAACGCAAAUGAAUGAAGCAUUCGUUAGUAUAUUAGGUGUACGUCAUCGUAGAGGUGCUGCUCAAGUGGCUACAUUAUCUGUCUGGAUGCCACUUCAUCCUUAUUGCCAAUAAAAAAUCUGUGGCAUUCAUGUUUGACUAAACAGUCAGGCAAAAUCAAGAAUGAUAAAAUUCAGAGGUGGAGAGUCGAGCUUGCCUUCUACAACUUUUAUAUUCAAUAUCAUCUUUGACACAUUGAUAAAAUUCCACAACUCUCUCUGCUACCCAGGCAUCAUGUGCAUCUUGUCAGAAAGCAAAACCUUCCAUACUGUACUAAGUCGAGGACGUGAAGAGACUCUCUUCUUUAUGCUCCAUUUGUGCAGAGUUCAAACCAAGGUUUCAUUGCCCUGAGACAUCUCAACUUAUCAAAGCGACAUGUCUGUUUGAGAGGCUCAGCAUUGAUUUCAAAGGACUUCUAACAAGGUCUUCAUCUAACCAGUAUUUACUUACAGAAAUAGACAAGUUCUCUUGUUUCCCAUUCUCUUUUGCCUGUCCCGAUAUGACAGCCCAAACCAUUAUCAAAUGCCUCAACCCGGUGUUCGUUAUCUUUGAUAUGCCUGCAUUUGGACAGGAACUUCCUUCAUGCCAUCAGAGGUGUAGGAUAUCCUACACAGCUGAGGAAUUUCUACAAGCUGGAUUACUCCAUAUAACCCCCCAUUGGUACAACAAUGUGAUAUGGAAAGCGGUGACGCUCAUGAUCAAAUCUCAAGGCUUGCCUACCACCCACUGUAAAUCGUCCUGCCGGAUGCACUGCAUUCAAUAUGUAGACUACUGUUGGCAGCAACAAAUGCCACACCACAUGAACAUUUAUUCAACCUCCAAUGUUGAUCGACUACUGUAUUCCAUUUCCACGCUAACCUGGCCCGUAAGCCACGCCCCUCUUCUAUAAAAAUAGCUGAUUGAUUCAAAGAAAAUGCUCGUGUAGUUGUCUGAUUACUAAUUUUGAACACAUUUAGUAUGAAUAAAUGGACAGCUACACAUACAUUUUCUAUGAACCAAUUGGCUAUUUGUAGCUGUAGACGAGGGGUGUGGCUUACGGGCCAGGUUAGGGGCCAUUAAAAAAUUAUGUAACACGUUUUUCCACCCAAAUUUAUACCCCCCCACCUCCUGUAACACUGUCCAAACCUCCCUAAACUAUUACGUAACAUAACCCUGAACACCCCCCCCCCCUCUCCCAGACUCAUAACACUGCUAACACUGCUUCAGAUCACACCAACAGCUGAAUAAUAUGCAGGGGAGGGCAAGACCCCUAAAAUUUGCACAGAAGUGCGAAUUUCCAUGGCGUGAAUAAGUGCAAAAAAUGAUGGGCUUGUCUUGUUCUGUGCGAGGGAGUAGUUAUCAUCACAACCAUUAUAUCCAUCAAUACAGAACAUUGUAAGUGUGUAUUAUGUAUACAGGAAUAUACUUGGGAGGUUUUGCGCUGUGACCUUAAGCAUAAAGCGAGUAUAUUCCACAGGAAGUAAAAAAAAAAUUCCCUCCCGCGACAUGCGGGACUAGUUGUUCGUCCUUGAAAACCGUGCCAGAUGUCGUUUGCUACCAUCUAGUGAGCGCCAAGGCAACUACACUCAGGCCGCUCAGACGCGUCAGCUGAUGCCUUCCUCAUGCAUGGUGCGCUGAGAGGUACAUUACAACACUUUGCUGAUACUGAAUAUGGCAACAACACAAAAGUCAGAAAAAAGUUUUGUUCCUGCAGCUUGUAAGAGGUUAUGGGAAAGCCUACCCUAGAAAAUAAAAAAAGACUAUCCCGACAGGUUUCUCAAAUAUUGCGCGACUUGAAGAAGAGUCAUCUUGGUGCUGAUCUGAAUAGUGCUGUUGCACAAAAGCUUCAGGAAUGGAAGCAACAGGAAAUGAAGUAAAAAGGAAGGCUCCUAUCAUUCUGGAGAAAGCUCCAAAGCUGGAGUACAGAAAGAACAAGCUGACCCUGAAGACAAAGCUGAUGAUCCUUAUACAGACAGGGAAUGUUGAAAUUGUCAGUGUAAAGGAAGUGAAAGAGCAUGUCCCAGUGAAGCAGGCCAUUACCUCUCCAAAACAAGACCAGCUGAAUCUCAAAUUAUGUGAACUUCAGGAUCAUGUCAAUGAGCUGUACAAGGGUGGUUGUGGCAUGCUUACAUAUGAAGAAUGCAAAUCUUUGAAAAAGAAAGAAACAGAAAUUGAUGAUUUGAAGAAAGAAGACUAAACCGAAUCAGGAAAGACAAAGAAAGUUUCGAGAAAAUUACAAAAGGAAACUUGAAGAAUUGGAUGAAGCAACAAGAAAAAAGCUGGAGGGCAAUCCAUCCUCAACCAAAGGAAGGCCACCAAAGAUUGCAGAUGAUAAUUUGUUACAUAAUGACAUUGUAGAAAUAACACUUGGAGGCUUUGCAGCAGAUGAGAAAAGAUGCUCUGAAGUAAUCAGAACUGUCAAGACUGGAUGACUUAACAGCUGCUUUACAUACAAAGGGUUUUCAAUUAUCACGCAACUCAGUUUAUUUGCGACUACUGCCUAGAAAUUCCUCAACUCGAGAGGGAAAAUGAUAUGUGAAAACAGUUCCUGUUAAACUAAUCUGGGACAGCACACAUAACCACCCCUGGAUACUUAAAUAUUUAGACUGAGAACUGAGUUUUCAGAAGUAUAUUGUUUUUUUUUUUUUACAUGCAAACAAUAUAUCAGGAAUAUAUUAAAUGAAAUACAUUUGCUUUCAUUAUUAAAGUAGUAUUUCUUGGUUUCACCUUUAUUUGAAAAAUAAAUAGAAUGUGCAUGCAUUUGACACGGUGUACAGUAAAAGUCCAAAAAUCCGGAUGCCAGAAAUCCGGACCACCCAAGAAUCCGGACUUUUCGAAAACUCACUUUUUUUUUUUUUUAAGCUGGCUUUUGUGUGUAUGUGCGCAUGCGUGAGCACCACAGCUGCACAGCGACAAGCGACCACUUGGUCGCCACUUUAAAACGAGCCAUCAAAUUGUGACAAAGUAUGUAAGUUUGAGUCCUACUCUUUCCAUUUACAGAGUACUGUACAAGCCCAUAAUAAUGGCUCCUAAAGUAAAUAAACUUUGUUGUGUAAAGAGAAAGAAGAACACGUUGAAAUUGAGUGACAAACUUGAAAUAAUUAAGAAACUAGAACGUGGUGUGAGCAUUACUGUUCUAAUGGAAACAUACGACAUUGGAAAGUCUACAAUUUAUGACAUAUAAAAGGCAAAGAUUAAAAUUCUAAAAAUCACAGCUUUUUCUUUAAAACUGCUCGUUUUGAUAACUGAAGCAUGCUAUAUUUGCUAAUGAAUAAACUAUCAAAAUGUAUCUGUUCAUCUCUUCUUUAUUCCUCCUUAAAAUUGAAUUUUAGAAGUACUGCCUGAGAAUCCGGAAAAUCCGAAAAUCCAGACCGACCCAAUCCCCAUGCAGUCCGGAUUUUUGGACUUCUACUGUAGAAAGAUCUCAGUACAUAUAUUGCUUUGUAAUUCUUAGUGCACUUUUAGUAUUAAAGACUUUCAAAGAUUA
rnacentral:lncRNA from 1 species